AUCUCUGUAACUCAGUCAAUAAGAGCAUGAGACUCUAAAUCUCCGGGUCAUGGGUUUGAGCCUCACAUGUCAGGGAUG